AAACCAUGUUAUGGGCAUGAACUAACAAGAUCCUUGAACUACUCUCAACAUUGGAAGAAUGUUUCAUCUUUAUUUUGGGCAAAGUUCAUGAUUGACUUUCUAAGGGU